UUAGCCAGAUCCGAUCCCUUCUCUCCGUUUUCGCGGGUCUUCUUUAGGUGUCUUCUGUGUGAGCUUGUUCCGUCUUUGGUAAAGACAGGCUUUCAGUCCCUCCAGUGAGUCAACGCCGAGUCCUCUCGGAAGUCGGAAGUCAGGGACAGGGGAGGGUGGGGACAUCGCAGGAGCGGGAGGGGAAGUUGGCCCCUUUGUUAAAGGUGAGCAGUGCUGGCCACUGCGCCUCCCACACGUCCCCAGAUUGAAAGUUUGUGUUUAUGAGGUUCUGAAUGUAGUCUAAUUUUUUCCUAUCUGGUUUGGCUCAUCUCUACCAGCUGGUAAAUAGGAAAUGUUCACGGUAGGAAGCCAAUACUCUGCAGAGUGUAAACAGAUGGAAUCGAUAUAAAGUGACAAGUUAGACUGUGCUAUUGAGAACACAGAGCCAAAACCAAGAACAUAACAGUCAAGCUACUUAUUCCGUUCCAGUUCAUUUAGUCCUGAAUAGCGCUUCAUAUCUGCACAGCUGUGUUGUUCUUUUUUAUUUUUCCCCUUUCUUUCUUCUGGGUUGAUAAUGACAAUUUCAAAGAAAAACUUUAAUUAAAGAUUUUA
rnacentral:lncRNA from 1 species